rnacentral:rRNA from 1 species
AAGCUCGUAGUUGAAUUUCGGGGUUAGUAGGUUGGUCAUGCCUCUGGUAUGUACUGGUCUCACUGAUUCCUCCUUCCUGAUGAACCGUAAUGCCAUUAAUUUGGUGUUGCGGGGAAUUUGGACUGUUACUUUGAAAAAAUUAGAGUGUUUAAAGCAAGCUAACGCUUGAAUACAUUAGCAUGGAAUAAUGAAAUAGGACGUUCGGUCCUAUUUUGUUGGUUUCUAGGAUUGACGUAAUGAUUAAUAGGGAUAGUUGGGGGCAUUAGUAUUCAAUUGUCAGAGGUGAAAUUCUUGGAUUUAUUGAAGACUAACUACUGCGAAAGCAUUUGCCAAGGAUGUUUUCAUUAAUCAAGAACGAAAGUUAGGGGAUCGAAGACGAUCAGAUACCGUCGUAGUCUUAACCAUAAACUAUGCCAACUAGGGAUCGGAUGAUGUUAAUUUUUUAAUGACUCAUUCGGCGCCUUACGGGAAACCAAAGUGUUUGGGUUCCGGGGGGAGUAUGGUCGCAAGGCUGAAACUUACAGGAAUUGACGGAAGGGCACCACCAGGGGUGGAGCCUGCGGCUUAAUUUGACUCAACACGGGGAAA